UAGGCCCUUUCCAUAAGAGCAUUUUGGAGGCACUUCCCCAUGUAUCUUUUUGAAGCUAUCUUGCAUUGGUCAAGUCUAUGAUGUAAACUUCUGUAUUUAGUUAUUGGUGGAAACAUUCCACAGAAAUUUGAAAGCUUGAGGUGGCUACUGAAUUGGUUAUCCCUCAAUUCCUGGGUACAAAAUUUCAGCUUGGAUUGGUUGUUGAAAGCAUCAAAGCUAAUUUGUCAGUGAAGAGAAGGUUAUCAUAUGAGUACGGACAACUAGUUUAUUAUGCUAAGGAAGAUUAUGCAGUUAGAUAGUUGAGUAGAAUACGGUCAAGAAGUGUAUGCUGACCAGGCUCACUCCUGCCUGUCUGCAAGGGCUUGUUAGCUGUCUUGUUCAAGAAGUAUUGCUAUGGGAUUGACUUUGCUGUGUAGGUAUCUCCUUGUGAAGGAUCCUUUUAUCUUGUAGGGGUCUUGUCGUGUGAGCUUACGGUGUUUGAUUUUAUUUUAUUGUUGGUUUGAUACUAAUGUUUGUUAGUUGGUGAUGCUAAAUACUUAAGUAUUAUUAGCAUUUUGUAAAAGGCAUUGAUACAAGCGAGUCUGUAAAAACAUUUUGUUUAAAUAAAUGUAUAUUCCUCUUUAUUUUC